rnacentral:rRNA from 1 species
GACGAACGCUGGCGGCGUGCUUAACACAUGCAAGUCGAACGGAAAGGCCUCUUUCGGGGGGUACUCGAGUGGCGAACGGGUGAGUAACACGUGAGUAACCUGCCCUUGACUUUGGGAUAACUUCAGGAAACUGGGGCUAAUACCGGAUAGGAGCUCCUGCUGCAUGGUGGGGGUUGGAAAGUUUCGGCGGUUGGGGAUGGACUCGCGGCUUAUCAGCUUGUUGGUGGGGUAGUGGCUUACCAAGGCUUUGACGGGUAGCCGGCCUGAGAGGGUGACCGGCACAAUGGGGACGGAGUUACGGCCAAGACUCUUAGGGGAGGAAGCGUUGGGAAUAAUUGAAAAAUGGGUGGAAGCCGAAUGCGGCAAGGCGGUGUGGGGGAUAACGGCCUCGGGUUUGAAACCGCUUUCGCUCAUGACGAAGCUUUGUGUGACGGUAGUGGGUAAAGAAGCACCGGCUAACUACGUG